AGGUCUUAAUCGCAAACCCGGCGCGAGCCGGCGACGCAAAGCCUCCGGUGUUGGAGGGUUCCGUUUUAAACACGGGACCUUCGCAAGAUAGCGGGGUUGCCGGU
rfam:Paucibacter sp. KCTC 42545, complete genome.